GACUCUGUGGCCAAUCGGUUAGCACGUUCGGCUGUUAACUGAAAGGUUGGUGGUUCAAGCCCACCCAGGGACG
rnacentral:tRNA from 1 species